ACUUAGGCUUCUCUAGAAGCCACCAUAAAUUAUAUUAUAUAUAUAU
rfam:Eimeria praecox, Houghton, WGS project CBTT01000000 data, contig: Eph_contig846_2